rnacentral:rRNA from 1 species
UAGGGAAUCUUCGGCAAUGGACGAAAGUCUGACCGAGCAACGCCGCGUGAGUGAAGAAGGUUUUCGGAUCGUAAAACUCUGUUGGUAGAGAAGAACGUUGGUGAGAGUGGAAAGUUCACACAGUGACGGUAACUUACCAGAAAGGGACGGCUAACUACGUGCCAC